rnacentral:rRNA from 1 species
UACGUAGGUGGCAAGCGUUGUCCGGAUUUACUGGGCGUAAAGAGCUCGUAGGCGGUUUGGCAAGUCGGGUGUGAAAACUCCGGGCUCAACUCGGAGACGCCACUCGAUACUGCUAUGACUCGAGUCCGGUAGGGGAGUGCGGAAUUCCUGGUGUAGCGGUGAAAUGCGCAGAUAUCAGGAGGAACACCGGUGGCGAAGGCGGCACUCUGGGCCGGUACUGACGCUGAGGAGCGAAAGCGUGGGGAGCGAACAGG